CCUCUGGCUUUUAAGGUCUCUACUCCCAGAAGUACAGCAGCAAGAAAAAGCUCUUAAGAUCUCCUGAACCUCUGGUUUCUCUCCCAUCCAUCAGGCUCACCCCGAGGAGGUUCUCCUACCUGGUUAUUAAAAGUGAAGGUCCUGAUCCAGGAGCUGCAGCCAAGGAGGAGACAAAAGACAGAGAAGCAUCCCAAAAUGGAAGGAGUCUUUAAUGGGUGUUUACCAUGUCCUCCUGCCUCUACCCUGGGAUGUGAUGACCCAGCUGGGAUGGAAGUGAGUGUCCCCAGGUCUUCUGAUCCCCCAGGUCUGGCAGAGGCUGGGGCUGUCUCUGCCACACCUCUCUGUCCAGCUGCUGCCACAUGGAAAGGAUCUUUUGGUAUGAUAAAAGAAUCAGACCAGA